rnacentral:rRNA from 1 species
AUUGAACGCUGGCGGAAUGCUUUACACAUGCAAGUCGAGCGGCAGCGCGGGGGCAACCCUGGCGGCGAGCGGCGAACGGGUGAGUAACAUAUCGGAACGUACCCCGUCGUGGGGGAUAACACAGCGAAAGCUGUGCUAAUACCGCAUACGACCUGAGGGUGAAAGCGGGGGAUCGCAAGACCUCGCGCGAUGGGAGCGGCCGAUAUCGGAUUAGCUUGUUGGUGAGGUAAAGGCUCACCAAGGCGACGAUCCGUAGCUGGUCUGAGAGGACGACCAGCCACACUGGAACUGAGACACGGUCCAGACUCCUACGGGAGGCAGCAGUGGGGAAUUUUGGACAAUGGGCGCAAGCCUGAUCCAGCAAUGCCGCGUGCAGGAUGAAGGCCUUCGGGUUGUAAACUGCUUUUGUACGGAACGAAACGGCUCCUUCUAAUACAAGGGGCUAAUGACGGUACCGUAAGAAUAAGCACCGGCUAACUACGUGCCAGCCGCCGCAGUAACAC